AUUGAACGCUGGCGGCAGGCCUAACACAUGCAAGUCGGACGGUAGCACAGAGGAGCUUGCUCCUCGGGUGACGAGUGGCGGACGGGUGAGUAAUGUCUGGGGAUCUGCCCGAUAGAGGGGGAUAACCACUGGAAACGGUGGCUAAUACCGCAUAACGUCGCAAGACCAAAGAGGGGGACCUUCGGGCCUCUCACUAUCGGAUGAACCCAGAUGGGAUUAGCUAGUAGGCGGGGUAAUGGCCCACCUAGGCGACGAUCCCUAGCUGGUCUGGGAGGAUGACCAGCGACACUGGAACUGAGACACGGUCCAGACUCCUACGGGAGUCAGCAGUGGGGAAUAUUGCACAAUGGGCGCAAGCCUGAUGCAGCCAUGCCGCGUGUAUGAAGAAGGCCUUCGGGUUGUAAAGUACUUUCAGCGGGGAGGAAGGCGAUAAGGUUAAUAACCUUGUCGAUUGACGUUACCCGCAGAAGAAGCACCGGCUAACUCCGUGCCAGCCGCCGCAGUAA
rnacentral:rRNA from 1 species